rnacentral:rRNA from 1 species
GACGAACGCUGGCGGCGUGCUUAACACAUGCAAGUCGAACGAAGUGGCGAACGGGUGAGUAACGCGUAAUCAACCUGCCCUUCAGAGGGGGACAACAGUUGGAAACGACUGCUAAUACCGCAUACUUCAGGGGGAGCUUGCGUCUGAUUGGCGAGUUGGAGGGGUAACGGCCCACCAAGGCGAGGAUCAGUAGCCGGUCUGAGAGGAUGAACGGCCACAGUGGGACUGAGACACGGCCCAGACUCCUACGGGAGGCAGCAGUGGGGAAUCUUCCGCAAUGGACGAAAGUCUGACGGAGCAACGCCGCGUGAGUGAUGACGGCCUUCGGGUUGUAAAGCUCUGUUAAUCGGGACGCGGUACCGGAAUAGAAAGCCACGGCUAACUACGUGCCAGCCGCCGCGGUAAUUC